GUAGUCUCGCACAGAUGCAUAUCAAUAAGCGGAGGAAAAGAAACUAACAAGGAUUCCCCUAGUAACGGCGAGUGAAGCGGGAAGAGCUCAAAUUUGAAAUCUUAAAGGGUUUCCCUUUACGAAUUGUAGUUUAAAGAAGUGUUUUCUGUUGAGGUUUUGGUAAAAGUUCUUUGGAAUAGGACAUCAUAGAGGGUGAGAAUCCGUAUUUGACCUUUACUUUCAACUUUGUGAUACACUUUCAAAGAGUCGGAUUGUUUGGGAAUGCAGUCCAUAAUGGGUGGUAAAUUUCAUCUAAAGCUGAAUAUUGGCGAGAGACCGAUAGCGAACAAGUACCGUGAGGGAAAGAUGAAAAGAACUUUGAAAAGAGAGUUAAACAGUACGUGAAAUUGUCAAAAGGGAAGCGUUUGACACCAGUGUUGUUUUUCUGAAAAUCAAUUAAAGAACUGUUUAUGCUAAGCUGUUUAGACUUUAUCAGCUAAUCUGUUUAGUUUUGAGCUUUUCUUUAAUGCACUUUUCAGUUAACAAGUCAACAUCAAUUUCUUUUGCUGUAAAAAAGCUUGAGGAAGAUGGCUUGAGAUUCGUCUUAAGUGUUUAUAGCCUCUUGCCUAUGCAGUCGGAGAGAUUGAGGUCUGCAGCGUAGAUCCUUCGGGGCUAAAUGCAUUUGUGCUAAGUUAUAGCAUUUUAUAGACAACUUGUUGACUAUGAUUUGUCUUGUAGCUUACUCGCUUAUGUUAUUUUACCUACGCUUAGGAUGUUGAUGUGAUACUGCGAGCA
rnacentral:rRNA from 1 species